CCUACGGGAGGCAGCAGUGAGGAAUAUUGGUCAAUGGCCGGAAGGCUGAACCAGCCAAGCCGCGUGAGGGAGGAAGGCGCAGAGCGUCGCAGACCUCUUUUGCCGGGGGACAAAAGGCCGGACGGGUCCGGUUCUGAGGGUACCCGUAGAAUAAGCUCCGGCUAACUACGUGCCAGCAGCCGCGGUAAUACGUAGGGAGCAAGCGUUAUCCGGAUUUAUUGGGUGUAAAGGGUGCGUAGACGGAGAAGCAAGUUAGUUGUGAAAUCCCUCGGCUUAACUGAGGAACUGCAACUAAAACUACUUCCCUUGAGUACUGGAGAGGAAAGUGGAAUUCCUAGUGUAGCGGUGAAAUGCGUAGAUAUUAGGAGGAACACCAGUGGCGAAGGCGACUUUCUGGACAGUAACUGACGUUGAGGCACGAAAGUGUGGGGAGCAAACAGGAUUAGAUACCCCUGUAGUC
rnacentral:rRNA from 1 species